UACAGAGGGUGCAAGCGUUAAUCGGAGUUACUGGGCGUAAAGGGCGCGUAGGCGGUUGAUUGGGUGUGAUGUGAAAGCCUUGGGCUUAACCUGAGAAGUGCAUCGCAAACUAAUUGACUGGAGUAGAUGAGAGGGUGGCGGAAUUUCCGGUGUAGCGGUGAAAUGCGUAGAGAUCGGAAGGAACGUCAAUGGGCGAAAGGCAGCCACCUGGCAUCAUAACUGAGCUGAGGGCGCGAGAGCGUGGGGGAGCGAACAGG
rnacentral:rRNA from 1 species